AGCGAACGCUGGCGGCAGGCCUAACACAUGCAAGUCGAACGAACUCUUCGGAGUUAGUGGCGGACGGGUGAGUAACACGUGGGAACGUGCCUUUAGGUUCGGAAUAACUCAGGGAAACUUGUGCUAAUACCGAAUGUGCCCUUCGGGGGAAAGAUUUAUCGCCUUUCGAGCGGCCCGCGUCUGAUUAGCUAGUUGGUGAGGUAAAGGCUCACCAAGGCGACGAUCAGUAGCUGGUCUGAGAGGAUGAUCAGCCACAUUGGGACUGAGACACGGCCCAAACUCCUACGGGAGGCAGCAGUGGGGAAUCUUGCGAAAUGGGCGAAAGCCUGACGCAGCCAUGCCGCGUGAAUGAUGAAGGUCUUAGGAUUGUAAAAUUCUUUCAACGGGGACGAUAAUGACGGUACCCGGAGAAGAAGCCCCGGCUAACUUCGUG
rnacentral:rRNA from 1 species